rnacentral:rRNA from 19 species
CAACUCUUAGCGGUGGAUCACUUGGCUCGUGCGUCGAUGAAGAACGCAGCUAGCUGCGAGAAUUAAUGUGAAUUGCAGGACACAUUGAUCAU